UACGAAGGGGGCUAGCGUUGCUCGGAUUCAUUGGGCGUAAAGGGUGCGUAGGCGGCGCCGUAAGUCAGGUGUGAAAUCUCGGGGCUUAACUCCGAAACUGCAUUUGAUACUGCGGUGCUUGAGGACUGGAGAGGAGACUGGAAUUUACGGUGUAGCAGUGAAAUGCGUAGAGAUCGUAAGGAAGACCAGUGGCGAAGGCGGGUCUCUGGACAGUUCCUGACACUGAGGCACGAAGGCCAGGGGAGCAAACGGG
rnacentral:rRNA from 1 species